AGCAGCCGCGGUAAUUCCAGCUCCAAUAGCGUAUAUUAAAGUUGUUGCAGUUAAAAGCUCGUAGUUGAACUUCGGGAUCAAUUAAUUGGUCGUGCCUCUGGUACGUACUGAUUUUAUUGGUUUCUCCCUUCUGACGAACCAUGAUGUCAUUAAUUUGGUGUCGUGGAGAAUCAGGACUGUUACUUUGAAAAAAUUAGAGUGUUUAAAGCAAGCUAACGCUUGAAUACAUUAGCAUGGAAUAAUGAAAUAGGACGUUUGAUCCUAUUUUGUUGGUUUCUAGGAUCGACGUAAUGAUUAAUAGGGAUAGUUGGGGGCAUUAGUAUUCAAUUGUCAGAGGUGAAAUUCUUGGAUUUAUUGAAGACUAACUACUGCGAAAGCAUUUGCCAAGGAUGUUUUCAUUAAUCAAGAACGAAAGUUAGGGAUCGAAGACGAUCAGAUACCGUCGUAGUCUUAACCAUAAACUAUGCCGACUAGGGAUCGGAUGAUGUUAAUUUUUUAAUGUACUCAUUCGGCGUACCCG
rnacentral:misc_RNA from 1 species